GAGAAAAGAGAAGAAAGGAGCCACGGAGCCAUCAAUCACUCAGUUUGCACCCCUGGGUACUGCAAACUCUACUCUGCCCCUGUGCUCAGUGAGAGCUAUCAGGCUCUGCUCUACCUAAGGAAAGAAGGCCUUGAGUCCCUAGGUGCUUGGACUGCUGUGCUAUGGAUGGUGAAGGGGAGCCAGCUUGCUUCUCUGACCUGGAUGAUUGACGUGCCUCCAUUCUGAGAAGCAGACAGUUUGCACAUGGGCAGUAUGAAGGAGGAGGCGGUGAUCAUUGGAAGAGUCCUUGCCAGGAAUGAGGGAAGCAAGUCCUUGUUGCAGAUUCCUGAGCAAGAGCCCUCAGAACACAAUAGCUACAGCUCAAGCACCGUGGCCUCCCUCAACUGAUGGGAAAAAUGGUGGGGAUAACCAAGCCAGAAAUCCCUGGCUCCUGAAGAAAGAAUGCAAGUACUUGCAGACAGGGCUCCAUGGUGUAGUCCCUCAGAAGGCCCUUUUGGCCUAAGCCCACAGGGCUUCCUUAUUCUGGAUACAACCUGGUUGAUAGGAGACUGCGUUGGGUACUUCAUUCUCACCUUUCUUCAAAUCUCAUGUGUGAUGAAGAACACUGGCAGUGUGUGUCUCCAUUACCAACCCUUAGCCCUUUUGAUAUAAGGCGGUUUGUAUGGAAACUAUUCUGAGAUAGUGUCUCAAAGUCCUCUCAUCUCUCAGCUUGGGUGUUUGGUGGUGUUUUUAUGAUGCUGCUAGAGAUGUUGCAUUGGGCCCUUCCUAAUUUGGUUUCAGAAUCAUGUGGCCCUCCCCAAACCAGGGUUUGUGCAGGUACACAAGGAGAAUGCUUGCAGGUAGGCUAAGCCAGAAGUUGGGGUUUGAUCACACCUCCUGUGUGCGACAUGGGGAGGUAAAGUUGUCGGUCUCCCUCCUUGGUGUCCCCCAUCCAGUCUGAGUACACAACUUUGACUCACCCCAUUGCCAUUCCUCUCCCAUUUCUGCUUUCCCAACUCAAUCUCAGUGUAUACAUGGAGACCAUGUGUCUGUGUCCUACAACAACCAAGGUCCCUGGUAUGGAGGUGAGUUUCCACGGCUUUCCUGAGCCAAUGCAGUGCUCCCAGAGUCUGAUAUCCCAGAGGACAGCUAGCCCCCUGUCUUUGAGGACUUGGCACUGGGCCGGCUACAGUAGCCACAUGGACUCCCCCACCCUAAUGGAUUCAGCUACUCUCAUUCAUCAAAACAGAUGGUCUUUGCAUGUUCAGCAUGCUCCACGAACUGAUCAGUGCACACAAAGCCUUUUGAAUACACACUGCACCAAGGCCUCGUUCCCACCUCUUAAUCGUCACAUGGAAGCACCUCCUUCAUAACUCUGAAACUCUGUUGCCCCUUGUGACGGAUACAAUGGGCAAAGCAUACCAGAAGCCAAAGAUCCCCUCUGUUUCUUAAGGGAGAAGGCGAGCCUUUUGUUCACAGGCCUCCAAUGAGCAUCCUUUGAAGCAGUCCGGUAGCGAAUGCCCACAAAAGGCUCUUGUGAGUCCUGAGCAAGCCAGCUUCUGAAUAAUUGUGCCAGUCAGGUUCUUCCAAACAUGAAGAACUCUGGCCCUCAUUGUUUCCAGUUUCAUGACAUUGCUUUAUCAUCCAUCAGGGUUCGCCUUGGGGUCCAUACAAAUUCAGUCUUUCAGAGUACUAUCUCCAGCUUGCAGAUGUCCCAUAGGUACCAGCCCUUAUGACUGUGGGACAGGUGGCACUGAAGGAGCCCAGGCCUUUUGGUUUUAGGACUACAUGGACAUCCAGAGCCCUGGGCAUCAGAAGGGGUCCAGCCAAGGACUGUUUGUGGGGAGGACUGUUUGUGUGGAGGAUGGGUCAGAUGUAUUAGAGGGAGCUGGCCUCCUUGCUGGGCCUAGGGGAAGUGAAGAUAAGCAUGUCCAUUCCACACUGAUCGCUUUCCCAUUGAAUGGAAAUAUCGAGUGCCCUUUGGUCCUGGAUGAAGCCAUUUCUAU